rnacentral:rRNA from 1 species
CUAAAACUGGCACUGAGUCCGAUAGCGGACAAGUACCCGUGAGCGAAGUUGAAAAGAACUUUGAAAGAGAGAGCUUCUAAAUAGUACGUGAAACCGCUUAGAGGCAAAACGCGAUGGUGCUCAUUACUGCGCCUGAGGAUUCAACUGUGACGGUGGGCUGGACGAGCUGGGCGUUCCGAUCUCUCUUUUGGGACGGGCCGUCGGUUUGCGCCUAUCACGCUCCGACUGGUGCACUUUCACUUUGGUGCCUCCGCCGACGACGACACUUGGCUACCCGCGGGCUGGGCGUAAGGUGACAACUGCCUUCGGCCAUUUGUGUUAUAGACCCCGGCGUCGGACAUGGUUUGGCCAGACAGGACGCUUCGAGCUUGCGGCGCCCGCCCUCCUUGUGGGCCUCGCAUGUUGGCUGCUUUGCUGCGCCGAUGCUUGCACUGGCGACAACCGUUACAGGUGACGGUUGUCGCGUCUUGCUCUUCUAGUUUGGCCUCUGCGAGUUUUGGCGCCUUAGUCUGUGGUGUACUUGUGGGUAGACUAUCCGACCCGUCUUGACAACACGUACCAAGGAGUCUAACAUAAGUGCGCGAGUCAUGGGGAUUCUACGAAACCCAAAGGCGCAGUGAAAGUAAAGGCGCUGGCUCUCGUAGGCUGAGGUGGUAUCUCGUGAUCGCAUUGCGCGAGCGCACCACCGGCCCACCGUCCUAUCCUGUCUCUGUCAGUGGGGCGGCGCAAGAGCGUUUUUUACACGUUUGGCCGACCCGUAAAGAUGGUGAACUAUUGCGCGCAUUUCUCGAAGUCAGUGGAAACAGAUGGCGGAGCGCAGCGUUUCUGACGUGCAAUCGCACGUUCAAACGUGAGUAUAGGGUGCGAAGACUAAUUCGAACCAUCUAGCUAGCCUGGUUCCCUCCGAAAGUUUCCCUCAGGAUAGCUGGCACUCUGGGAAACAGUUUUAUCCGGUAAAGCGAAUGAUUAAGAGGCAUUGGGUCGAAACGACCUCGACCUAUUCUCAAACUUUUAAUGGGUAAAGAUGCUCGUCUCGCUUUGGAGAGAGGGCUAUACCUCUCUAUAAAACGCUGAAUGGCGGUGUGACCCAGUGUGGCCCCAUUUUUGGAGUACAGCAGAAUUGGCGCUGUGGGAUGAAACCCAAACCGCGCCGGAUUAAGGCGCCCAAUGCGGACGCUCAUGCAGACACCACAAAAGGUGUUGGUCGUACUGACAGCAGUGAACGGUGCGCCAUGGAAGUCGGAACCCGCUAAGGACGUGUGUAACACUUCACCUGCCGAAUCAACAGCCCUCGAAAAUGGAUGGCGCUGGAGCGUCGGGCUAUACCGUGCCGUUGUCGGGCGAAGCAGACUAAAUAAUCUGUGUGCGAUGUCCAACGGUAGGAGGCGUCGCCGUGUGUGAGCCGCAGAAGGUGCGGCCGUGAGGCCGGCUGGCAGCCGCACGGGCGGCAGAUCUUGGUGCGUAGUAAGCAAUUACUCACUGUGAGAACCCUUGGAGGGACUGAAGUGAAGAAGCGGUUUCCAUCGUGAACAGCAGUUGAACAUGGGUCAGGCGUCCUAGCGACGGGUAACUCCCGUACCUAGACGGGGUGACAACCUAUUCAUGAUAUACUGUAAGUGGUUAUAGCCCUCCGGGCAAGCGAAAGGCGAAUCGCUGUUAAUAUUCACGACCCUUACGUCGGAGAUCGCCCUUUCGGGGGGCAAGUUGCGGCUAACGCAACACGAACACAGAGACGUCGGCUGGAGCCCGGAAGAGUUCUCUUUUCUUUGUAAGGAGCCGUACCCCCUGGUAAUCGGCUUGUUCCGCGAGAUAGUCGGGCGUGGCUCUCCGUAAGCAGCGCGGCGGGUCUCUGCGCUGUUCGGUGCACUCUAGUCGGCCUUGAAAAUCUGUGGGAGACAGUGUGCUGUGUGAUUUUCACGGUAGGCCGUACCCAUAUCCGCAGCGUGUCUUCCAAGGUGAACAGCCUCUAGUCCUAGAACAAUGUAGGUUAAGGAAGUCGGCAAAAUGGCAUCACGUACUUCGGAAAAGGGAUUGGCUCUGAGGGCUGGGUCGGUAUGGGCUGGCGUAAGAAGCUGCUUCCGGUUUUGGUGAGGACUGGGUGCAGGCUUUUCGCGGCUUUACUCGCGGCACCAUCGCGAGACAGGCAGUAGACGACGUCAGCUGUGCUUGUCGUGUUUUCGGCCCGCUCGGCCGGCGGCAGCUUCGUCCGGCAACAAACAGCCAACUCAGACUGGCACGGGACUAGGGGAAUCCGACUUGUCUAAUUUAAAACAAAGCUUGCGAUGGCUGUUGGCUCGGUGUUGCACGCAAUGUGAAUUUCUGUCCCCAGUGCUCUGAAUUGUCAAAGUGAAGAAAUUCAAUCAAAGCGCGGUGUAACGGCGGGAGUAACUAUACUCUCUUUAAGGUAGCCAAAUGCCUCGUACAUCUAAUUCAGUGACGCGCAUUGAAUGGAAUUAAACGAGAUUCCCACUGUCCCUAUCUACUAUCUACGAAAACCACAGCCAAGGAACGGCGGCUUGGCAGAUCGCGGGAAAGAAGACCCUGUGAGCUUGAUUCUAGUCGCGACUUUGUGAAAGAGACAUGAGAGGUGUAGUAUAGGUGGCAGCGUCAGCGACUUUGACAAUAUCCACGACUUAUUCGUUUCACUUAUUCAGUGAAGCGGGAGCGGCCUUUCCCGCGGCCUCGUUUCUGUGUUAACGGCUGCCUCGCGCCGGCGGCCGCUGACCUGCCAUCUGAAGACAGUGUCAGGCGGGAGUUUGACUGGGGCGGUACAUCUGCUCAAAAGGUUAACGUCAGGUGCUCCCAAGAUGAGCUCAGUCAUGGACAGAAUACCCUGCCGUAGAGCAAAAGGGCAAAAGUCAUUUGAUUUUGAUUUUCAGUACGAAUUACAGACGUGAAAGCGCGGACCUUAUCGAUCCCUUGAUUAAUCAGAGUUUGAUGCCAAGGGGUGUCAUAAAAGUUACCACAGGAUAACUGGCUUGUGGCGGCCAAUGGUUCAUAGCGACGUCGCUUUUUGAUCCUUCGAUGUCGGCUCUUCCUAUCAUUUCGUGAAGCAGAAUUCACCAAGCGUUGAGAUUGUUCACCCACCAAUUAGGGAAUGUGGCCUGGGUUUGACCGUCGUGAGACCAGGUUGUUUUACCCUACUGAUGGUCUUGUCGUUGGCUAUCGACAUCCUGCUUAGCUACGAGAGGAACCGCAAGGUUCAGACAUUUUUGGUUUAUGUGCUUGGGUCGAAGACCAAUGGUAGCGGAAGCCUACCAUCUGGGAUUAAGACUGAAAGCCUCUUAAGUCUGAAAAUCCCGCCCAGAAAUGCAACCGAUACUCAUCGUGUGCCCUACCGCGGGAGGGGCCCAACGAUAUACUCGCGACUCCGAAAUCGAUUUUCGGCGGCCGAGACUGGCUAAAGCCACUGCGAUCUUGCGCCCAACCCGCUGUCUGAAAUUUGGGCAAGUGGAGGCACAGACACGAUAUACCAUUGAUUGAGACGUAGGGGUUCUAUUUCGUUUGUAGACGACUUAGAUCUCGGUCGCGGGCUGCCGUACUUAGUUGAGCAGUUCUUCACGCGCAUCUAUUUGAGGCUAAGCCUUUUUUGAGGCAGAUAUGU